rnacentral:rRNA from 1 species
AUGCAGGUGUGCUCUCGGUUCACAAGCAUGGAUGAGAUGCAUAAAAAGGCAGACAUUGUGCUGUUAAAGGCGGUGAAGAAGGAGUUGAAGAGGCUGAUACCUGAGCUAGUAAAAGGCGCUAUGUCAGUGGACACGCUGCGGUGGGCGAUGUAUGAGGCUGAGUCGGUCGAUCAAGGUCCGAGAGCAGGAUGGGCCAAGUACAGACUUGGCAGGGCUCAUGAUGACCAGUCGGCCAUCGCGCUGGCGGCGGCCGCCAUCAUUCUGGAGGACGGCCAUGUGCUGGUGGAUGCUGCCAAUGGUGAACCGGUCAAGCCUCGGGACACUAGAAUGCUGAAGCGGUGGAGGUGGUGA